rnacentral:rRNA from 1 species
UACAGAGGGGGCAAGCGUUGUUCGGAAUUACUGGGCGUAAAGGGCGCGUAGGCGGCCUGUUAAGUCGAACGUGAAAUCCCCGGGCUCAACCCGGGAACUGCGUCCGAUACUGGCAGGCUUGAAUCCGGGAGAGGGAUGCGGAAUUCCAGGUGUAGCGGUGAAAUGCGCAGAUAUCGGGAGGAACACCUAUGGCGAAGGCAGCUCGCUGGGACGUUACUGACGCUGAGACGCGAAAGCGUGGGGAGCAAACAGG